rnacentral:rRNA from 1 species
AGUGAACGCUGGCGGUAGGCCUAACACAUGCAAGUCGAACGGCAGCACAGUAAGAGCUUGCUCUUACGGGUGGCGAGUGGCGGACGGGUGAGGAAUACAUCGGAAUCUACUUUUUCGUGGGGGAUAACGUAGGGAAACUUACGCUAAUACCGCAUACGGCCUACGGGUGAAAGCAGGGGAUCUUCGGACCUUGCGCGAUUGAAUGAGCCGAUGUCGGAUUAGCUAGUCGGCGGGGUAAAGGCCCACCAAGGCGACGAUCCGUAGCUGGUCUGAGAGGAUGAUCAGCCACACUGGAACUGAGACACGGUCCAGACUCCUACGGGAGGCAGCAGUGGGGAAUAUUGGACAAUGGGCGCAAGCCUGAUCCAGCCAUACCGCGUGGGUGAAGAAGGCCUUCGGGUUGUAAAGCCCUUUUGUUGGGAAAGAAAAGCAGCAGGUUAAUACCCCGCUGUUCUGACGGUACCCAAAGAAUAAGCACCGGCUAACUUCGUG